rnacentral:rRNA from 1 species
GAUGAACGCUGGCGGCGUGCCUAAUACAUGCAAGUCGAGCGAACAGACGAGGAGCUUGCUCCUCUGACGUUAGCUGCGGACGGGUGAGUAACACGUGGAUAACCUACCUAUAAGACUGGGAUAACUUCGGGAAACCGGAGCUAAUACCGGAUAAUAUAUUGAACCGCAUGGUUCAAUAGUGAAAGACGGUUUUGCUGUCACUUAUAGAUGGAUCCGCGCCGCAUUAGCUAGUUGGUAAGGUAACGGCUUACCAAGGCAACGAUGCGUAGCCGACCUGAGAGGGUGAUCGGCCACACUGGAACUGAGACACGGUCCAGACACCUAAGGGAGGCAGCAGUAGGGAAUCUUCCGCAAUGGGCGAAAGCCGGACGGAGCAACGCCGCGGGAGUGAUGAAGGUCUUAGGAUCGUAAAACUCUGUUAUUAGGGAAGAACAAAUGUGUAAGUAAAUAUGCACGUCUUGACGGUACCUAAUCAGAAAGCCACGGCUAACUACGUG